rnacentral:lncRNA from 1 species
UAUGUGGUUCAGUAUUUAUUUACAUUUGAAAAUGUGGAUUUCUGGAUUUUGUAGAAUAAAAGGUUUUCUACCCCUCGUGGUAGCCUUUUUAAAAGAAUAAAAGUUUCUGUGUAGGAAACAGUUUUCAAAAGAUUUUUGUGGAUUUCUGUUUAAACCUUGAAUGUAAAACUGUGAUGUGAAUGGUGAAUGUAUGAAUGUAUAAUUAUCUUUAUAUUCAUCUGGUUGUGGUUGUAUCCUGGUUGUACUGUGUAUUUGAUCGACGCCGUGCAAAUACAGGGGAGACUCUGUCCGUGUGAACAGUGGAUUUUCUGUAUUUGUGGCGGAUCUGGCAUACUCUUGGGUCAGGUUUUCAAAAAAAAAAAUUCUGACGCU